UAACGUAUAUUAAAGUUGUUGCGGUAAAAAAGCUCGUAGUUGGAUUUCUGUUGAGGACGACCGGUCCAUACCCUGUAUGUGCAUCUGGUUCGGCUUCGGCAUCCUCUCGGAGAACGUUUCUGCGCUUCGUUGCGUGGUGCGGAUUCCGGGACUUUUACUUUGAGGAAAUUGGAGUGUUCACGGCAGGCCUUUGUCAGAACAUAUUAGCAUGGAAUAAUACUAUAGGAUCUUAGUUCUAUUUUGUUGGUUUCUAGAGCUGAGGUAAUGAUUAAUAGGGACAAUUGGGGGCAUUCGUAUCAUUGAGUC
rnacentral:rRNA from 1 species